AUCUGGUCCUACUUCCUUUUUAAACCGGCGGCCGUAGAUUGCCUGGGCUAGAGAUGGGCAAGUUUAUGAAACCUGGCAUACUGGUGAUGGUAUUGGCCGGCUGCUAUGCUGCGCGCCAGGCUGUCAUUGUCAAAAAUAUUGAUGAUGGAGCCUCUUAUCCCCCUUACAACUAUGCUCUAGUGUCUGGCAUUGACUGAUAUCCUUGCAAAGUCACCACCACCAUGGGCAAGAAGGUUGCCAAGAGGUACAAGAUCAAGGCCUUUGUUAAGGUGUACAACUACCUCAUGCCUACCAGUAGAUUCCUCUGUCAGCUAAUCAUCUGGAUUGCCUGCAGCUGGAGUCACCCAAUUAACCCAUCAUCACACACACCCUAUUUAAGUUCUUUGUUUGCUCCCCGUCAGGAGAUGUGGCAGGUCUCAGAUUUCUCUGUUUGUUUGUUACUUUUGAUUCUUUUUUGAUUAUGUAGUUUUUGAUUCACUUUUUUUAUUUUUUUUAUUACCUUUUUCAGUUUACCAGCUGUUUGGUAACUUUGUUCUCUUUUUGACUUUUUUCUACAUUCAGCCGGACGCAGGGUUUGAGAGGUAGGGAACUUAGGUAUCCGCCUGCAGGUCUACAUCUUGUCCUGCACCACAUGUAGACUUCUCUCUGUAUUAGUACAACAGUUAGAGCGGCGACACUAACCCAUGUCUUUGGGGUGCUAGCGCGCCUGUCAAGGGGGUUAGGCUAGGGGGAUUAGUCCUGGGGUUGUUUUUGUGUGUUUAGGUAGGGUUAGUUUGUUUUGGGCUUUUUCUUUUAGUAGUCGCUGCAUAGCUCAGGGGGUUGGGUACAUGUUGUGUCUCGGCCCUGUGUUCCGGUUGUUUUUUUUUUUUGUAAAUAAAUUAUUGUUACAACUA